rnacentral:rRNA from 1 species
UUGGAGGGCAAGUCUGGUGCCAGCAGCCGCGGUAACUCCAGCUCCAAUAGCGUAUAUUAAAGUUGUUGCAGUUAAAAAGCUCAUAGUUGAAUUUCAGGGUUAGUAGGUCGGUCGUGCCUAUGGUAUGCACUGGCUUUACUGAUUCCUCCUUCUUGAAGAACUGUAAUGUCAUUAAUUUGGUGUUGCAGGGAAACAGGACUGUUACUUUGAAAAAAUUAGAGUGUUUAAAGCAGGCUAACGCUUGAAUACGUUAGCAUGGAAUAAUGAAAUAGGACGCUUGAUCCUAUUUUGUUGGUUUCUAGGAUUGACGUAAUGAUUAAUAGGGAUAGUUGGGGGCAUUAGUAUUCAAUUGUCAGAGGUGGAAUUCUUGGAUUUAUUGAAGACUAACUACUGCGAAAGCAUUUGCCAAGGAUGUUUUCAUUAAUUAAGAACGAAAGUUAGGGGAUCGAAGACGAUCAGAUACCGUCGUAGUCUUAACCAUAAACUAUGCCGACUAGGGAUCGGAUGAUGUUAAUUUUUUAAUGACUCAUUCGGCGCCUUACGGGAAAC